GGGUAGUAUUCUAUGACGUUCGUGGAAAACCACAACCCUUGACUGUUUUACGUGCUUAUGGAAAUUCUGAGGCUGUGACAAGUCUAUGCUGGCAAAGAGCAAAACCUGUAAUUGUCAAUGAAAACAAUUGCACUACAGAAAUGGCUCUCCUGGGCAGUGCUGUGGAGGAUUCAAUUUUGAUGCCUGACCCACUUCCUGCUAUGAUGUCAUCAAGCCUAGCAACUUCUAUGACAACAUCAGGUUCGAGAACCACUGUUCGUUCAGGUUCUGUGGACUCAUUUUCU
rnacentral:misc_RNA from 1 species